UGGAAGUGUAGCUCAAUUGGCAGAGCGAGAAGCUUAUACCUUCUGUAUGCACCAGAUUAGUGCGCGGUUGUGGGUUCGACUCCCUCCACUUCCAU
rnacentral:tRNA from 1 species